CUCAAACCAGCAUAAACUAUUCGGAGUUUUAGAUGGAAAAUUGGUCCUGUGCUUCCUCAUGAAAUACAAGGAAAGCUCAAUAGUUCAGAGAAAGAGUACUUCAGGAGCCACUCUUCAGCCAUUAAGUCAUAUAUCUCAGAAGUGCAUAUAGAUUCAACAGUGGUAUGUAUAUUUCCAGUUUCACUUGAUUUUGGGUGA
rnacentral:rRNA from 1 species